CCAACUAAGAUAUUUUAUAAACGCCAAAUAUUUUAUACACUUGUAAGAUAUUUUACAAUCCGGAUACAGUGUUAAUAAUUAUUUGAGAUACUUGAAGUAAUAAGAUAAUGAAACCGGAGUGUUCAUAAUUAUUUUUCGGGCCCUUCGAAACCUUUAAUUACAAUAUGUAUAUAUGUUAUGGUUAUAGUUUCACUAGUUAUUAAAUAAUAACUACACUAUACUUACGGGACAAGACUGACGGGAUCUUGAAGUCGCUUGGUUGUUGGUAUGAAGAAGAGGUGCACCUGGAGGAAGGUUAGAUUUAUCAUGAUGGGAGAGUGCAUCCGUUCCCUGUCAAAUAAUGAAAUU
rnacentral:lncRNA from 1 species